rnacentral:rRNA from 1 species
AACGAACGCUGGCGGCGCGCCUAAUACAUGCAAGUCGAGCGAGAAGACGUAGCAAUACGUUUGUAAAGCGGCGAACGGGUGAGGAAUACAUGGGUAACCUACCCUCGAGUGGGGAAUAACUAGCCGAAAGGUUAGCUAAUACCGCGUACGCUCCUUGGACUUCGGUUCAGGGAGGAAAGCGAUACCGUGGGUAUCGCGCUCUUGGAUGGGCUCAUGUCCUAUCAGCUUGUUGGGAGGUAACGGCUCACCAAGGCUUCGACGGGUAGCUGGUCUGAGAGGACGAUCAGCCACACUGGCACUGCGACACGGGCCAGACUCCUACGGGAGGCAGCAGUAAGGAAUAUUGCGCAAUGGGCGAAAGCCUGACGCAGCGACGCCGCGUGGGGGAUGAAGGUCUUCGGACUGUAAACCCCUUUCGGGAGGGAAGAUGGAACGAGCAAUCGUUCGGACGGUACCU